ensembl:snoRNA Small nucleolar RNA SNORA47
CGGAGGACUGAGAAGGUUUAUCAGCUUCAACGUGUGCUGUUAUAACUGGUUAUAUUAUAACCUCCCACAGCAACACAAGACCGACACAACAACUGUCUCUGAGACCCAUCGGCACUAAUGUUGUGUCUGUGUACAGAAU